UUGCAGCAGUAGUCCAGCUUACGGGACGUGCAGCUUCUCACAUUACAUUGGAGUGUGCCUUGCAAACUCAUCCAAACAUCACCGUCAUUGGAGAAGAGGUUGCUGCUAAGAAACUGACGCUGAAAAAUGUUACAGAUUACAUAGUAAAUGUAAUCUGUAAACGUUCUGAUCUUGGAUAUAAUUAUGAAAAGUUACCUUUUCGUAACUUUAGUGGCAAUGUCAAUUUUUUUUCCUUUAUUUGAACGCAAUGUUCAUUUUGAUUAUGUUUCUUUUCAGGUUCAGCAGCUUAUAGAAAAAAAAAUCUGACAUAAAUCUAAUCUUAAUAUAUUUAUUUUUAUAGUGAUCAA